rnacentral:miRNA from 8 species
UGAGUAUUACAUCAGGUACUGA